CCAUACCACCCUGAACAUGCCCAAUCUCAUCCUGAUCUUGGAAGCUAAACAGGGUUCGGGCCUGGUUAUAGUACUUGGAUGGGAGACACAUAUAUCAAAAUACCACAUUGUAGGGACGCCUGGGUG
rnacentral:rRNA from 1 species